GACGAACGCUGGCGGCGUGCCUAAUACAUGCAAGUAGAACGCGUAAACUCGGUGCUUGCACCGGGCGGAUGAGGGGCGAACGGGUGAGUAACGCGUAGGUAACCGCCCUGGUAGCGGGGGAUAACGAUUGGAAACGAGAGCUAAUACGGGAUAAGAGGAGGUGUUGCAUGGCGUUGGCGUAAAAGGUGCAAUUGCACCACUACCAGAUGGGGCUGCGGUGUGUUAGCUAGUUGGUGGGGGAAGGGGUCACCGAGGGGACGUUACAUAGCCGGCCGGAGAGGGUGGGCGGCCGGUCUGGGAGUGAGACACGGCCCAGCCUCCUUCGGGCGGCAGCAGUAGGGAAGGUUUGGCGAUCGACGGAAGUCUGACCGAGCAACGCCGCGUGAGUGAAGAAGGUUUUCCGUUCGUAUAGCACCCUUGUACGAGAAGAACGAGGGUCCGGCUCUAAAGUGCACAGUGUGCCGUUACCUUACUAGAAAGCGCCGGCUAACUACGUG
rnacentral:rRNA from 1 species